GGUUGCAACCUCCGCACAACUCGCUUGUGAACAAAGAGCAUUGUUGGACCAUCAUAGACCCGUACGUGAAAAAUGAAAGCAUUCUCUUUGACCUCUGAGAGUCUCGACUUUGCUUGUUAAAGAGUAAGGGGUCUUGAGCCUUCAUUGGUGCUGCUCGUUGAAGAGCGAGGUGCUUUGUGAUUUUUGUUUUCUCCUUUACUCGGUUUUGCUUUUGCUCUCUACUCGAAUUUGAUUUCGACAUCCUAC
rnacentral:lncRNA from 1 species